GUGCUCGCUUUGGCAGCACAUAUACUAAAAUUGGAACGAUACAGAGAUUAGCAUGGCCCCUGCACAAGGAUGACAUGCAAAUUCGUGAAGCAUUCCAUAUUUUU